GGAUUAGAUACCCUGGUAGUCCACGCCGUAAACGAUGAGUGCUAGAUGCUGUGGGUAUUGACCCCCGCGGUGUCGCAGCCAACGCGUUAAGCACUCCGCCUGGGGAGUACGGCCGCAAGGCUAAAACUCAAAGGAAUUGACGGGGGCCCGCACAAGCGGUGGAGCAUGUGGUUCAAUUCGACGCAACGCGCAGAACCUUACCUGGGUUAAAUCCACUAGAAGUUAGCAGAGAUGCUGAUGUGCCCUUCGGGGAGCUAGUGAGACGGUGCUGCAUGGCUGUCGUCAGCUCGUGCCG
rnacentral:rRNA from 1 species